CCUACGGGUGGCAGCAGUGGGGAAUAUUGGACAAUGGGGGGAACCCUGAUCCAGCCAUGCCGCGUGUGUGAAGAAGGCCCUCGGGUUGUAAAGCACUUUCAGUGAGGAAGAACGCCUGGUGGUUAAUACCCAUCAGGAAAGACAUCACUCACAGAAGAAGCACCGGCUAACUCCGUGCCAGCAGCCGCGGUAAUACGGAGGGUGCGAGCGUUAAUCGGAAUUACUGGGCGUAAAGCGCGCGUAGGUGGCUUGAUAAGCCGGUUGUGAAAGCCCCGGGCUCAACCUGGGAACGGCAUCCGGAACUGUCAAGCUAGAGUGCAGGAGAGGAAGGUAGAAUUCCCGGUGUAGCGGUGAAAUGCGUAGAGAUCGGGAGGAAUACCAGUGGCGAAGGCGGCCUUCUGGACUGACCCUGACACUGAGGUGCGAAAGCGUGGGUAGCAAACAGGAUUAGAUACCCUAGUAGUC
rnacentral:rRNA from 1 species